CUUUCAUAAUUACUUAUUUUUACAAUGUACCAAACGAAUUCUCAGCUACCCACCAUUCCUCUCAAGGCUCCUCAUUUCUCCGAAUUGCAUGACAACCCACCAUAUUUCAAAUAGAUAGGCUCUUCUGUCGAUCUUUUUCCACUGUCGUUUCUGCAAAACCAGUCAUCCUCUAUGUUUUUUUUUUAUUAUCACAGAUUUUGCCUCUCCUUCUAUCUCCACAGCCAUAACUCCCAAAUCCACUCCCAGUUGGAGUCCCUGAACACAGGCAAGAGCCUCCGCUGCAAAACAGAAGGUACAUUAUCAUUGAGAACAGUUCUUGCUACCAAAACCAUUACAUUCGAAUCCCUAACCAUAAGCCCUGAACAAGACCUAUUAUCCUUCUUGUUGUACGCUAUAUCAAAGUUGAUUCUAGCAAAUGGACUUUUCGGUGGCUUCCAACUCUCAUUCCCCAGCAGAUUAGCAGAUUUGACUCUGACUAGUAUAAUUGUUUUCGAAAAACCAGGUCUCCACUCUUACUGCGCAUUUUGGACAAACAACCACAUUUGUUAGUCUCCUGUAUUGUUGAUUACAUGGAGUAGGGAUAAAGUUUCUACAACAUUUCCAGACUGUAAUUUUCAAUUUAGAGGGCAUGUAAUGCAUGUAUUUUGUCUGGUUUUGUAACUAGUUAGGAUCCCCCGAUAAUUGUAAUAGCUUUUUGUAAGCACUACGAACAAAAUACACACCUGAGGCCUCACCUUUCCACACCAGAUAAUCCUCAUGAGGAAUCCUUGCCAACAGGAUUUUUAAAACUCUCUCAACAUCAGUCACACAGAAGGCACCCAAGCAAUUGGAAUUUUGUUCCAGUUCCAACUCUCUAGCAUAUCCUGUCAUGGAGAAUACCUUUGGUAGCCCAAAUGCUCUUUCAGGUAUAAGAAGGUAUAUUCUCUAACCUUGUGAUGGUUGCCGAUUUCACCAAUAUAAUCCUACACUUAAUUUGCAAACUUGAGCAGUAUAGGGAGUAGGACCGAUUCUUCAGAGACUGGGGUCACGUAAAAUUGUUGCUCUUUCUCGACCAGAUUCGUGUUUGGGCAGUUGUCGUGCCCAAGAAAUUUGAGGAAGGAUAAAAAUUGAAAACCUGAAAUAAACAGAAAAAAGUGUAAAAAGUAAAAGCUGAAAAAAAAAACAGUUAAAUAAAUCUGAAGAAAGAUUAAUUAAACUUAGCUCAGCUUCAGACACGGGUUUUUCCUCAUCUUUGAACUGAUCUUCGAAAUUAGAUGAACUCCUCUUUUCAAAUAAGUUAUUUAUAGUUACCAAGUAUGCCUCGGACACCAACUCCUCAUUGUGUAAAUUAGUUAUGGAACGUCCUAUAACUAAACAUUACCGAUCGAACAACCAACGGAACGUUCGUGGUUUAGAACUCCAGCAGCUUUGCGUUCUAGAAGAGCUUAGCUCGAACCAAUGUUCUCAACUGCGUGGGGCAUUUAAAUCUGGUUACUACUUCCCUUGACAGAACCAAACAACAAUACCCACUUAGCACGCCAACGUGUUCACGAAAAAUUGAUUAGACAAUCGAUCUUUUUGGAAUUCAAACUGUACGUCUAACCACACUAACUCAAACGACGUCUUUUUUGACUUAGUGUUAAUUUAACUUUGUGAGUUGAUGAAGUCAUACUCUUAAUCCGGCUAGAAGUAAUAAAUACUGAAAAUUAAAAAUUGAAUUGCUCGGAUUCGUAA